CCGUCAACAUCGGCUGCUGACUGAAAUAGAUCUUUGGUUUUGCCUUUGCUGACUGCUGAUCUGGUCAUCUCCACUCUGGUUACCUGCUGCAGAAACCCUCUUCCUCUAUCAUUAACAAGCAAUUCUGUCUGUCCUGUCACUCUCUCCACUCGAUCUAUUUUGACAAGCCAUUCUAUCUUGUAUGACUCUAUCCCAAGAGCUCUAUCUAAUUUACCAAAAAUCACGUUUUCACUGGAAUCAAGUUUUGACUGGAAUCAAGUUUUGACUGGAAUAAUCAAGUUUUGACUGGUCCCAGUUUUGGGGAAAUUUAAGUUACCAGUACUUCAUCGAUCUGUUACAGAAUUCUGAGAGAUCUCUGCUCUCACUGCUCCUUCUUUCCUGUCGUCAAACUCUCUCACAUCCAGUCGUUUUGCUGGAAAUUACAAGUAUAAAGUUGACUAUACAGUAGUAUAUUAAUUAAUUAUUUACACAUCCCUAUAUUUGUAAUUUUUAUUUUUACAUUUGUAACACUUUGGAAUAAACACUGAUUAUUUGGCUUACAGGUGCAAUUACUUUCAUAAAUUCUAUAAAAUAUUCACCUUUUUAAAGGUUUAUUUGGAAUAAGAUAAUCUUGUUAUUCUGUAAUACAUAUUUUCAGAGUGCUAUAUUCACAUAAAUAUUUAAUUUGAUUUCUUCAAAUACCUUUUGCUAGUUUGUUUCAUUGGAGAUAACAUUUGAGAACAGUAGGUUUAUACUAUUAUUAUUUUAAGGACAAACACAUUUCUGUUAGUCAUUGUAAGUGUUCGUAUUGUCAUCAAUAAUCUGCCCUGAGGACCCAGACUUCCCGUUUCCUGACUGCUGCAGAACAUCCAGCUGAAGAGUCCUCAUCGCCUGUCAUCUGAUCACCACAGCUCUUUAUAUUUGCUUAAAAUCUUAGAUAUCUGAAAGAUUAAGACAAAGUCUACUUAAAAGCUAAGAGUUAUUAUACCCUGUUUAUUGUUGUGAUUUCUACAUAUCCCUUUACAGAAAUAUAGAUCUAAUCAUUAACCAGUCUCGUUAAAAAAUAUACAGUUUUUGAAAAUACUACAAUAAAACUGACCCAAGUUUUUUUUUUAGAGAACUUUG